rnacentral:rRNA from 2 species
UGGGGAAUUUUGCACAAUGGGGGAAACCCUGAUGCAGCGACGCCGCGUGAUUUAGAAGGCCUUCGGGUUGUAAAAAUCUUUUCUAUGGGAAGAAAAUGACAGUACCAUAGGAAUAAGGACCGGCUAAUUACGUGCCAGCAGCCGCGGUAAUACGUAAGGUCCGAGCGUUGUCCGGAAUCAUUGGGCGUAAAGGGUACGUAGGCGGGUAAGCAAGUUAGAAGUGAAAUCCUAUAGCUCAACUAUAGUAAGCUUUUAAAACUGCUCAUCUUGAGGUAUGGAAGGGAAAGUGGAAUUCCUAGUGUAGCGGUGAAAUGCGCAGAUAUUAGGAGGAAUACCGGUGGCGAAGGCGACUUUCUGGACAUAACCUGACGCUGAGGUACGAAAGCGUGGGUAGCAAACAGG